rnacentral:rRNA from 1 species
GCGGAACGAUGGGAGCUUGCUCCCAGGCGUCGAGCGGCGGACGGGUGAGUAACACGUGGGAAUCUGCCCAUUAGUGGGGGAUAACUCGGGGAAACUCGAGCUAAUACCGCAUAAUCCCUACGGGGGAAAGCAGGGGAUCUUCGGACCUUGCGCUGAUGGAUGAGCCCGCGUCGGAUUAGCUUGUUGGUGGGGUAAUGGCCCACCAAGGCGACGAUCCGUAACUGGUCUGAGAGGAUGGCCAGUCACACCGGGACUGAGACACGGCCCGGACUCCUACGGGAGGCAGCAGUGGGGAAUCUUGGACAAUGGGCGCAAGCCUGAUCCAGCCAUGCCGCGUGUGUGAAAAAGGCCUUCG